GAGUGUGAGUGCAAGUUUGUGACGUGGGGUUAACCAACUCCAGUCCUAGAGGGCCGCAGUGUCUGCGGGUUUAACUCCAGUCCUAGAGGGCCGCAGUGUCUGCGGGUUUAACUCCAGUCCUGGAGGGGACGCUGUGUCUGCAGGUUUAACUCCAGUCCUGGAGGGCCCCAGUGUCUGCAGGUUUAACUCCAGUCCUGGAGGGCCGCAGUGUCUGCAGGUUUAACUCCAGUCCUGGAGGCCGCAGUUGUCUGCAGGUUUAACUCCAGUCCUGGAGGGCCCCAGUGUCUGCAGGUUUAACUCCAGUCCCGGAGGGCCGCAGUGUCUGCGGGUUUAACUCCAGUCCUGGAGGG